rnacentral:rRNA from 1 species
CUCGUAGGCGGCCAACUAAGUCGGACGUGAAAUCCCUCGGCUUAACCGGGGAACUGCGUCCGAUACUGGAUGGCUUGAGUUCGGGAGAGGGAUGCGGAAUUCCAGGUGUAGCGGUGAAAUGCGUAGAUAUCUGGAGGAACACCGGUGGCGAAGGCGGCAUCCUGGACCGACACUGACGCUGAGGAGCGAAAGCCAGGGGAGCAAACGGGAUUAGAUACCCCGGUAGUCCUGGCCCUAAACGAUGAAUGCUUGGUGUGGCGGGUAUCGAUCCCUGCCGUGCCGAAGCUAACGCAUUAAGCAUUCCGCCUGGGGAGUACGGCCGCAAGGCUGAA